rnacentral:rRNA from 1 species
GAUGAACGCUGGCGGUGUGCCUAAUACAUGCAAGUCGAGCGAACAGACGAGGAGCUUACUCCUCUGACGUUAGCGGCGGACGGGUGAGUAACACGUGGAUAACCUACCUAUAAGACUGGGAUAACUUCGGGAAACCGGAGCUAAUACCGGAUAACAUGUUGAACCGCAUGGUUCAACAGUGAAAGACGGUCUUGCUGUCACUUAUAGAUGGAUCCGCGUCGCAUUAGCUAGUUGGUAAGGUAACGGCUUACCAGGGCAACGAUGCGUAGCCGACCUGAGAGGGUGAUCGGCCACACUGGAGCUGAGACACGGUCCAGACUCCUACGGGAGGCAGCAGUAGGGAAUCUUCCGCAAUGGGCGGAAGCCUGACGGAGCAACGCCGCGUGAGUGAAGAAGGUCUUCGGAUCGUAAGACUCUGUUAUUAGGGAAGACCGAAUGUGUAAGUAACUAUGCACGUCUUGACGGUACCUAAACAGAAAGCCACGGCUAACUACGUG